rnacentral:rRNA from 1 species
CGGGGUGAGUAAUGUCUGGGAAACUGCCUGAUGAGGGGGAUAACUGCUGGAAACGGUAGCUAAUACCGCAUAACGUCGCAAGACCAAAGAGGGGGACCUUCGGGCCUCUUGCCAUCGGAUGUGCCCAGAUGGGAUUAGCUAGUAGGUGGGGUAACGGCUCACCUAGGCGACGAUCCCUAGCUGGUCUGAGAGGAUGGCCAGCCACACUGGAACUGAGACACGGUCCAG